rnacentral:lncRNA from 1 species
ACCACGCAGACAUCCUGGAGAACUGAGAGCCUGCAAGAAGGAGAUUCCCUGAUGGACCUUCAGGCCAGUCCUCUCCAGCUCUUCCCUUGAAGAGAAAUGAUCAGAGAGGUGCCAGGGAUUGAACUCGGAUCACCAGGCUCGGAGGCAAGCACCUUUGACAUACUAAGCCACUGUGGUCCAUAAGAACAUUAAACAAAGGCCUGGAAUCUUCAAAACCAAACUGUGUAAGAUACACAGAAGUGGGAGAGAGGCAAAUCAUUUAUUUGUUACUAGGUACUUUUUCUUGUGGGAAGAAAGUUUUUUGUUAAUUCACUCAACAUUUAUUGAGAGAUGCAAGCCAUCAAAGAAAUGGCCCCUCCAGAAACUAGACACUGCAGACCAAGGGUGAACGCCUAGCCUGGAUCACCGCAGCUCAGGAAGAGGCUGCAGAAACAG